rnacentral:rRNA from 1 species
AUGGUGAGGUGGGAAGCUCCCCCCGCCGGCUGGCUGAAGCUCAACUUCGACGGGUCUGUGUACAAUGACGGGUCCGGCCGGGCCAGCAUCGGCGGCGCCAUCCGCGACUGCAACGGCCGCGUUCUUGCCGCCUUCGCCGAGCCGACGGAGCACUCAACGGUGGGGAUAGUGGAGGCAAGGGCGCUCAUUCGCGGGCUGCGCCUUGCGCUAAGUCGCUUCCGCGGCAGGCUGGUGGCGGAAGGAGACGACCUCAUGCUGGUGGAGCUCCUCACAGGCGAGGAGACGCAGACGCGCAUACCUCGGGCCAUGCAAGAUGAGAUUCUCAUGUUGCUUGGGUGCUUCACGGCGUACAAGGUCCAGCACAUUUUCCGCGAGGGCAAUCAGGUCGCCCACGUCCUGUGCAAAGAGGCGUAUCAGCGGCCAGGGGUGUGGGCGGGCGGGAUCGUGCCGCACGCCGUCUGGGAGAAGGCGCAAGACGAUGUGCACGGCGUGGCACACGAGCGGCUCUUCAAGAAGAAGUUAUGA